GACGAACGCUGGCGGCGUGCCUAAUACAUGCAAGUUGAGCGCUGAAGGUUGGUACUUGUACCAACUGGAUGAGCAGCGAACGGGUGAGUAACGCGUGGGGAAUCUGCCUUUGAGCGGGGGACAACAUUUGGAAACGAAUGCUAAUACCGCAUAAAAACUUUAAACACAAGUUUUAAGUUUGAAAGAUGCAAUUACAUCACUCAAAGAUGAUCCCGCGUUGUAUUAGCUAGUUGGUGAGGUAAAGGCUCACCAAGGCGAUGAUACAUAGCCGACCUGAGAGGGUGAUCGGCCACAUUGGGACUGAGACACGGCCCAAACUCCUACGGGAGGCAGUAGUAGGGAAUCUUCGGCAAUGGACGAAAGUCUGACCGAGCAACGCCGCGUGAGUGAAGAAGGUUUUCGGAUCGUAAAACUCUGUUGGUAGAGAAGAACGUUGGUGAGAGUGGAAAGCUCAUCAAGUGACGGUAACUACCCAGAAAGGGACGGCUAACUACGUG
rnacentral:rRNA from 1 species